rnacentral:rRNA from 1 species
UACGUAGGGUGCGAGCGUUAAUCGGAAUUACUGGGCGUAAAGCGUGCGCAGGCGGCGCGUUAAGACAGGUGUGAAAGCCCCGAGCUUAACUUGGGAAUUGCGCUUGUGACUGGCGUGCUGGAGUGUGGCAGAGGGAGGUGGAAUUCCACGUGUAGCAGUGAAAUGCGUAGAUAUCUGGAGGAACACCGGUGGCGAAGGCGGCAUCCUGGACCGGUAGUUGACGCUGAGGCGCGAAAGCCGGGGA